GAUGAACGCUGGCGGCGUGCCUAAUACAUGCAAGUCGAGCGAACGGACGAGAAGCUUGCUUCUCUGAUGUUAGCGGCGGACGGGUGAGUAACACGUGUAUAACCUACCUAUAAGACUGGGAUAACUUCGGGAAACCGGAGCUAAUACCGGAUAAUAUUUUGAACCGCAUGGUUCAAAAGUGAAAGACGGUCUUGCUGUCACUUAUAGAUGGAUCCGCGCUGCAUUAGCUAGUUGGUAAGGUAACGGCUUACCAAGGCAACGAUGCAUAGCCGACCUGAGAGGGGGUACGGCCACACUGGAGCUGAGCCACGGCCCAGGCUCCUACGGGAGGCAGCGGUAGGGAAGCUUGCGAGAAGGGCGAAAGCCUGACGGAGCAACGCAGCGUGAGUGAUGAAGGUCUUCGGAUCGUAAAACGCUGUUAUUAGGGAAGAACACAUGUGUAAGUAACUGUGCACAUCUGGACGGUACCUAAUCAGAAAGCCCCGGCUAACUACGU
rnacentral:rRNA from 1 species